rfam:Nematostella vectensis strain CH2 x CH6 NEMVEscaffold_253_Cont20989, whole genome shotgun sequence.
CCUUCGAUAGCUCACUUGGUAGAGCGGGGGACUGUAGAUUUAUAUUUGUGAUCCCUAGGUCGCUGGUUCGAAUCCGGCUCGAAGGA